rnacentral:rRNA from 1 species
UACGUAGGUGACAAGCGUUGUCCGGAUUUACUGGGCGUAAAGAGCGCGCAGGCGGUCGAUCAAGUCGAGUGUGAAAGCCCCCGGCUCAACUGGGGAGGGUCAUUCGAUACUGAUCGACUCGAAGGCAGGAGAGGGUAGUGGAAUUCCCGGUGUAGUGGUGAAAUGCGUAGAUAGUCGGGAAGGAACACCAGUGGCGAAGGCGACUACCUGGCCUGUUCUUGACGCUGAGGCGCGAAAGCUAGGGGAGCAAACGGG